GCGCAGCAGUCGAGAAACCUCCGCAAUACACGAAAGUGUGACGGGGCCAUCCCGAGUGCCGUCCGCUGAGGACGGCUUUUCCCCAGUGUACAUAGCUGGGGGAAUAAGGAGAGGGCAAGCCUGGUGUCAGCCGCCGCGGUAAUACCAGCUCUCCGAGUGGUGGGGACGCUUAUUGGGCCUAAAGCAUCCGUAGCCGGCUAGGCAAGUCCUCCGUUAAAUCCAACGAUUCAAUCGUUGGGCUGCGGGGGAUACUGUCCAGCUUGGGGGGCGGGAGAGGCCGACGGUAUUCCCGGGGUAGGGGUGAAAUCCUAUAAUCCCGGGAGGACCACCAGUGGCGAAGGCUGUCGGCUAGAACGCGCCCGACGGUGAGGGAUGAAAGCUGGGGGAGCGAACCGGAUUAGAUAU
rnacentral:rRNA from 1 species